UGAUGGAAAGUUGAAAAGAACUUUGAAGAGAGGGUUCAACAGUACGUGAAACCAUCACGAGGAAAAACGAACGGGACCUCGAAGGUCUGCGCGUGGGGAUUCAGCCGAGCGGGCCGGACCCUCCUCCGACGUCGACCGCACUAGGCGGCACGGAGGGGAGGCCUCGGCUCCGAACGGUGCAUUUCCCCGCGCUCAAACGCUGCGACCGCUCGGAGAGUGGCCAACGGGAGGCGCCAGAGACCGCCGUGCCGACCAGUCGGCCGGCGGACGGCGCCCCUCCGGUCGUCUCUCGGGGAGCGAGUACGAAAAGAGCGACGCCCGCGCCGUCGGCGCGCCAGUCUCUCGUACCCUGGCGGAGGCGUCUCGCUCUGCAGCGAGUAGGUCGGAGACCCGUCCGACCCGUCUUGAAACACGGACCAAGGAGUCUAACAUGUACGCGAGCGAUCGGGUGACGAGAGACCCGAACGCCCAAUGAAAGUGAAGGCUCGGAGAGCCGGGCCGAGGGGCGAGCCCGUGCCUGCUCGAGAGAGGAGCGCGAGCGCAGCCCCGGGACGCGCCGUUCGCAUUGCCGUCGGCACGUACCCAGAGUGUACACGUUGGGACCCGAAAGAUGGUGAACUAUGCCUGGCCAGGACGAAGUCAGAGGAAACUCUGAUGGAGGUCCGUAGCGAUUUUGACGUGCAAAUCAAUCGUCCGAGCUGGGUAUAGGGGCGAAAGACUAAUCGAACCAUCUAGUAGCUGGAUCCAUCCGAAGUUUCCCUCAGGAUAGCUGGCGCUCGCANGACCGAGUUUCAUCCGGUAAAGCGAAUGAUUAGAGGCCUUGGGGCCGAAACGANCUCAACCUAUUCUCAAACUUUAAAUGGGUGAGAAGUCGGGCUUGCUCGACUGAAGCACCGACCNUNGAAUCNAGAGUGCCAAGUGGGCCACUUUUGGUAAGCAGAACUGGCGCUGUGGGAUGAACCAAACGCAGAGUUAAGGUGCCCGAGAGAACGCUCAUCAGAUCCCAUGAAAGGUGUUGGUUGCUAUAGACAGCAGGACGGUGGCCAUGGAAGUCGGAA
rnacentral:rRNA from 1 species